rnacentral:lncRNA from 13 species
UGGCGGAAGGUAGUUUCUGGGCGGUGGAGGGCGCGGAUCGUCGUCCGCAAAGCCGUGCGUUCACCCCGUGCCGCGACGACAACAGGGCGUCGUUCGUUCUGGUGCGAGCGCCGGGAGUCCGCCGGGGAUUUCGCCGUCGAACCUGCGGGUCGAACCGAUUGAACCGGUCAUCCGGCCGGAUGCGCGUACUUGGAAUUCUGUGGCCGCGCGCGCGGGGAAGCCGGGCCCCUGCGGACUGCAUUUGUGCCGCGUCAAGACGAUUCCGUGUUUAGCUCGCGGCGAUCGACGUUCGCGAUCAGCAUCACGUUUCCACCGUCGUGCACCACGUGGCUACCGUCGAACGUGGCGAUCCUAUCGCGACGCAGCACACCUGGAUUCUUGACGUUGGAUAGUGGCCGUGUCGCAUGUGUCUGUCAGGAUUUACGCGAAGACCUGUCCGUGGAAAUACGAAAACGGGCGAAAGACCUUGCGGUUAGAGUUUGUCACGGGGUUGUGGUUAUGCUCGAGGUUGGAUAUCGACGAAACAGGCAUCUACGCCAAGGGAAACUUGAUCAAAGCGCGUCACUUUUGGACGGUGGAAAAGUUCACGCUCAAGGAACAGUGGAUGGACAAAUUUCGCGUAUGACUGAUCUCGUAUGUCAACGAAGAAAAUCGUUACUGUAAAGAACGUCACGUGGUUCUUUGGACGAUUUGCGUCAACGAGAGAGAACGUCCGGAAAUUACUGAAUCAUCGUCGCAAAUCUAUUCGAGCGAAGAAUAAUUAGACGCAGAAUUAACGUGAAUGCUAAAUCGCUCGGUAUCUGAUACGAUUCUGGGUGUGCACGAAUCUAAGUGUACGUCAUCGGAGUUACACAUUGGAGUUCAUUGAAGCGAGUUUCACGUGUCGGCGGAGUGGGUGGAUCUGCUAGAUGAUGACGCGAGGAGCCUUGUGAAGUGAGAUAUAAGAUCAUCGGGUUUUGUGAAGUGACGGCAAAAUAAGCGCCACAGUGUUAGUGAAUCGAGUUUCGACCGUCAGAUAAAUUGGAUUGGAUGCAAAGUUUGUGCAAAAAUAUGCGGAAGCUGGAGAGACAUGCAAACUUUAUUAUUAGUGAUAACGGGUACAUUAAUGAAGCGAUGCUUUCAUGAAGUUGAUAGGAUCGGGACAAUUUCCUCUUUCUUGCCAAGUUAACGGCUAAUUGUGAUCGAGGUCGUCAACAAACGAAAACGAAAAGUUUGCUUUUAGAAAGUUUCAAGGGAAAUCACAAGACAACUCAAUCAAAAGAUGUACAGUGGAGGACGGAUGAAAGAUCAAAGCCAGAUUAUCGUCUUAUAUAACGUUUGGAAAAAUUUACAUACAGCCACAGUGUUUUCACUCAAUAUCAAGAUAAUCAAAAGUCUACGUUUAUAAACAUAUUAGUAAUAUAUAGCGCAAAUAUAGACAGAAACGUAUGUAUACGAUGUCUUAAGCUGCAAAAGGAUGAAGAUCGUCACUAUUGAAAGAACAACCUGUUUCAGACUGCCAUCCUGAAAAGUAUCUCUUAUAACGGACAAAGUGAGAUUGAAGAAAAGAGGAUAACUCCCGUAUGUAACGACAUUGUACGAAGUACCAAGUAUUUACGGAAGAGUGGAGACACAACAAGAAAGAGAAACGCUUUACCACUACAAUCUCGUUUUGUAGAAAGGCAAAGCGAGCGAAUCUACUGCAGCAGGAAAUAUUAAUAGAUUCGGCGACUCUCUCCCUUUUAUCGAUUAUUUCCUGUUAUCCUACUCAGUAAAUAACAA